AAGUCGUAACAAGGUUUCCGAUAAGGUGGAACCGUGCGGGAAGGAUCAUUAAACCUUUCAAAAGCAGGGGUGCGUCGCGGCCCCAGAGGUGCGGAAACAAGCCGUCGAGCGGUUUGGGUCCUCCCCUUCACGCGCGCACGACUGCCAUCCUUACUUUACGAGCACCUUCUGUUCUCCCUCGGCGGGGCAACCUGCCGUUGGAACCGAAUAAACUCUUUUUUGCAUCUAGCAUUACCUGUUCCGAAACAAACAAUCGUUACAA
rnacentral:misc_RNA from 1 species